AAUGAACGCUGGCGGCAUGCCUUACACAUGCAAGUCGAACGGCAGCAUGACCUAGCUUGCUAGGUUGCUGGCGAGUGGCGAACGGGAGAGUAAUGCAUCGGAACGUGCUUUUUAGUGGGGGUAAACGUAGCGAAAGUUACGCUAAUCCCGCAUAUUCUCUGAGGAGGAAAGCUCGGGGCCUUCGGGCCUUUCGCUAGCAGAGCGGCCGAUGUCGGAUUAGGUAGUUGGUGAGGUAAAGGCUCACCAAGGCAACGAUCCGUAGCGGGUCUGAGAGGAUGACCCGCCACACUGGGACUGAGACACGGCCCAGACUCCUACGGGAGGCAGCAGUUGGGAAUUUUGGACGAUGGGCGCAAGCCUGAUGCAGCCAGGCCGCGUGAGUGAAGAAGGCCUUCGGGUUGUAAAACUCUUUCGGCAGGGAAGAAAGCACACGCGCUAACACAGGGUGUGGAUGACGGUACCAGCAUAGGAAGCACCGGCUAACUACGUG
rnacentral:rRNA from 1 species